CCAGCUCCAUAGGGUUACGAAAAUUUAGGAUUUUGUCAAUGGUACAUAAGAGCAUACUAUCUCCUUCAACUGUUGUUGGCAAAUUAUUCAAAAUUACAUGACAAUUUUGUGAUAUCCAUUUCAGGACAGAUAUCUCAUUUUCUACAGAAAGUUGAGAACCUGAGUAAGCAAGGUGUCCCAUGGAUCUCCGCUGACCCUGUGGGAUUGCCCAUAACCUCAAUGCAGAUAAUAAGGCAAAAGAUGGUUUCCCAUCUUGAUGGAUGUACAUUGAUUCC
rnacentral:misc_RNA from 1 species